GAUGAAGAACGUAGCGAAAUGCGAUAAGUAGUGUGAAUUGCAGAAUUCCGUGAAUCAUCGAAUCUUUGAACGCACAUUGCGCCCCCUGGCAUUCCGGGGGGCAUGCCUGUCCGAGCGUCAUUUCUGCCCUCAAGCACGGCUUGUGUGUUGGGUGUGGUCCCCCCGGGGACCUGCCCGAAAGGCAGCGGCGACGUCCGCCUAGGUCCUCGAGCGUAUGGGGCUUUGUCACUCGCUCGGGAGGGGCCUGCGGGCGUUGGUCAUCCACUAUUUUUCCACGAUUGACCUCGGAUCAGGUAGGAGUUACCCGCUGAACUUAAGCAUAUCAAUAAGCGGAGGA
rnacentral:misc_RNA from 1 species